rnacentral:rRNA from 1 species
AACGCUAGCGGGAUGCCUUACACAUGCAAGUCGAACGGCAGCGGGAAGAAAGCUUGCUUUCUUUGCCGGCGAGUGGCGAACGGGUGAGUAAUGUAUCGGAACGUGCCCAGUAGCGGGGGAUAACUGGCCGAAAGGUCAGCUAAUACCGCAUACGCCCUACGGGGGAAAGGGGGGGAUUCUUCGGAACCUCUCACUAUUGGAGCGGCCGAUAUCGGAUUAGCUAGUUGGUGGGGUAAUGGCCUACCAAGGCGACGAUCCGUAGCUGGUUUGAGAGGACGACCAGCCACACUGGGACUGAGACACGGCCCAGACUCCUACGGGAGGCAGCAGUGGGGAAUUUUGGACAAUGGGGGAAACCCUGAUCCAGCCAUCCCGCGUGUGCGAUGAAGGCCUUCGGGUUGUAAAGCACUUUUGUCAGGGAAGAAAAGGUUCUGGCUAAUACCCGGAACUGAUGACGGUACCUGAAGAAUAAGCACCGGCUAACUACGUGCCAGCAGCCGCGGUAAUACGUAGGGUGCAAGCGUUAAUCGGAAUUACUGGGCGUAAAGCGUGCGCAGGCGGUUCGGAAAGAAGGAUGUGAAAUCCCAGGGCUCAACCUUGGAACUGCAUUCUUAACUACCGAACUAGAGUAUGUCAGAGGGGGGUAGAAUUCCGCGUGUAGCAGUGAAAUGCGUAGAUAUGCGGAGGAAUACCGAUGGCGAAGGCAGCCCCCUGGGAUAAUAC